GUGAAUCAUCGAAUUUUUGAACGCAAAUUGCACUCUCUUCGGAGAGUAUGCCUGUUUGUGGGUCAGUAUCAAUAAAAAUCGGAGUGUUGCUUUUUUGUGACGCUCCGGAGUUUUGGACAUCUUAAUAUCUUUUAGGUCUUAAGAGGCUUAAAAUUGAUUUUUUUUGCGCAUUUUAGAGGUACAUAAAUUCUUUUAUUUAUUUGUCUGUCUUAA
rnacentral:misc_RNA from 1 species